rnacentral:rRNA from 1 species
GAUGAACGCUGGCGGCGUGCUAAACACAUGCAAGUCGAACGAUGAAGCUAGAGCUUGCUCUGGUGGAUUAGUGGCGAACGGGUGAGUAACACGUGAGUAACCUGCCCCGAACUCUGGGAUAACUGCUGGAAACGGUAGCUAAUACCGGAUAUGACCAAUGAAGGCAUCUUCUGUUGGUGGAAAGAAUUUCGGUUCGGGAUGGACUCGCGGCCUAUCAGCUUGUUGGUGAGGUAACGGCUCACCAAGGCGACGACGGGUAGCCGGCCUGAGAGGGUGAUCGGCCACACUGGGACUGAGACACGGCCCAGACUCCUACGGGAGGCAGCAGUGGGGAAUAUCGCACAAUGGGCGCAAGCCUGAUGCAGCAACGCCGCGUGAGGGACGACGGCCUUCGGGUUGUAAACCUCUUUUAGUAGGGAAGAAGCGAAAGUGACGGUACCUGCAGAAAAAGCACCGGCUAACUACGUGCCAGCCGCCGCGGUAA